UGGAUUUUACUUUUUCUCACUUAUGAAGUGCAAAUUGAGAUCGUUGAUAUGAAACUUUUCCUUUUUUUUUCCAGUGUAGGUAUUUAGUGCUGUAAAUUUCUCUCUAAGUACAGCUUCUGAGUUCUCUAUCCAACGCCCUAUGGAUUGAGACUUCUUACUGUAGUUGGUGGGAAAAUGCAUUUUUCCUGGCUUUGUGCAAACUUCAGGGAAUUGUUUCUAAUAAUCCUUUCGGAUGGUUCUUUCCUUGACCUGUGGUCACAAAUACUGAGUUGAAUUCUCCAGGGGGACCUUCUGUAGCUUUCUCUUUUUGCAGGUCUCACCUGUCUACUACCCUGUCCCAAGAACUCUAGCAACAUUAGCCUUCCAGAUAAAAGUUCUUUCUCCUCUCAACUCAAGGAAGCCAUCAGGUUCUGCUGGGUUCCCAUUACCUACACCACAGCCAGGAAACUCAUGUCUGUAAGCUGAGGCAGUCACUGGGCUCAGUCUCUUAAGGAUCACCAUGCUCUGUUGCCUGAUAUCCAAGGUCUUGAGAAUAUUUUCAUACACUUUGUUUGGUUUUUUAUUUAUUUCAAAUAUCUGAACUUUUUUUAUUUGCAAUACUUCUGACACUGAAUGUAUGGAUUUUAUUUUCCCAUACUAAUAACCAGUUCUCCAAAUCUCUGGAAACAACUGGAUGUCCCACAAUUCAAUUCUGACAUUCCCUACUCAGAACUGGUGUCAGGCUGCACAGGUUUAAGAGCUCAGCCCCACAAGAUUGUCUUUGCUUCAUAUGCCAGUCACAAGUAUUGGUACCCGGGAUACUCACACUUCUGUGUUGUGUCUUGGACAUAUUCUGACUUGGCUGUGUUACCAAACCUUCAAUGCCAGAUUCUUAAAUCUCCAUAUCACAGAAGUGAGCACUGAACUCAGUACAAGAUUAACCAUACAGAAUUUACGAAGAGAGCUUGCGUACAAGGGAAUUCACCAGAAAAGAGGAGUUGAGUUCCCCAAGAGGUUCUUGUGGGUGGCUUAUACAGGGGCCUUGAGGUGUAUGUAGGGCUUGGGAAUAAGGAUGAGGUCAGUUGUCCCACAAUCAUCAUCAGGAGGCAGUUUAUCCCUGGGUAGCCACAAGAUGUUUUCCAUGGUCAGUAGACCAGUCAAAGGGCCUGAAAAAUAAUGCUUGUGCACACAUUUUAAUUACUAUUGAAUUGACAAAAAAGCUAUUGCAGAAUAUGAUGUUAAGAAAGGAUGUUAUCAUUGUACAUUCUUUCCUUUAAGGAUGUGGUUAGGUUAUAGAAUCUUACUGAAAGCAAGGAGUCACAGUUAGACCUCUGAUAUGGAGUUCUUUCAGUCAAGAUGUAGUCCAGAUGUUACCCAUAUACUCACUACAAAGUUGGGUGUUCCUACAACCCACCCUCCUUUCAGCUUCAGUAAUUUACUAGACCUGCUCAUAGACUUCAGGAACACUUUUUAUUUACACUUAGCUGUUUAUUAUAAAGAAUACAACUCAGGAAAGGCCAAAUAGAAGAGAUGCACAGGGCAAGUUAUGGGUGAAGGGACAUGGAGCUUCCUCUCCAUGCACAGAUGUACCUCUUCAGUUGCACCAGUCUCCCAUCACCCUUAUGUAUUCCCUGAACUCUGUUAUUUAAGGCUUUUAAUCAAGGAUUCAUUCUAUAGGCACAGUUGAUUAAAUCAUUGACCAUUGGUGAAUAACUGAAACUUUCAGAGUUAUUCAGUAGGGUAGAGCUGAAAGUUUCAACCCUCUAAUCAUGCCUUGGUCUUUCUGGUGACUAGUCUCCACCCUGAAGCUACCUAUGGGCCACUAGUCACCAGUCAUCUCAAUAGCAUACAAAAGACACUCAUCACUCUGGAGAUUCCAAGGGAUUUUGAAGUCCAGGACUAGGGACAAAGACCAAAUUGUUUGUGGGUUUUUCUGUGUCACAAGGUGGGAGCCUGAAUCUAGUUUCUUACACUACAUUGGCCAAAUACCAGAUUAAAAUUUUACAAGUUGUGUUAAUCCACAUAGGCAUGUAUAUAAAUUUUACAAGAUAUGAUUAGCAUCAUGAAACUAAGCUAAAGAGAGUGCUUUCUACUUAGAAAACAAAGAUAAUUAUACCUCUCAAAAAAACCCAACUUUUAAUGGAAUACAUAGAUUUAUUCUCAGAGAAGAACUCCAUAUACUCAUUUAUACAUUGAAAUGUUUAUUAAUAAUAAUAGUUAAUUUAAAAGUAAUAUUUCUAGAAGAUCAUAAAUAAUAGAAAAUUUUCAAUUUGUAUACUGUUACACUUUUAUACAGCUUUCAAAAAUGGAAGUAAGUUGCAUGUGGCCACGGAAAACUCUAGAUUUAUACAAACUGGUAAAAUCUUGGGUAAUGUAGUAGUGUCACAUUAGUUCCUAAAACAGUUUUAUAUUUGUGUGGCCCUCCUGUCUCCCCAUCUCCUAAGUCCCCUCAAGCUUAUGGAGCUGAUCACUGCAAGAAGGAUGCCAUAGGCAGUGGAGGAACUCCAUUCAAUUUGGUGUCUCUUAUCUACUGCUUACAUAAAAUGGUUACCGUCUGGGGCUGAUGACCUAGAAUUAGAUUUUAAAAUAAAAAGAAUAUCAACAAAAUAAGUGGUCACAGCUCUGAUGACUAAUGGUACCAAGGAUAUAGAGUCUCACCAAUUUGGGGGAUAAGACUGGUGAUUGGGAAUAUUCUUGGAAACCCUGGAGCCGUGCUCCCUAUUGGGAAACCGUGCAAAACCUUUGCACUGUUAACAAUCAGUCUCUAGUAGGUUGUGUUCAAAGAGGACCUUUGAGUCAUUUUCAUUUUCUUUAUUUUCAACUAUCAGGGCUGACAUCAUAGUUUCUGUCAUUGUUUAUGUCGAUCAUAGUUUCUAUCAGAGCACAUGGAAGUAUAGGAAGUUUUUCCUAGCCCAUUUCAUAGUUAAAUAAAAGGAAAGAGAAAGGGAGAUCAACAUGGCAGAAUUUUCUAAGAAGUUUCGCUCUUUUAACAAAGCUUAAAAGCCAGAGAGUGAUAAGUUGUUCCUGACUCCUUGUAAAGAAAUGAAGAUGCUCACUCAGCACCUCAUCCUGUCAUCAGCAGAAUAUCAGUGCCCAGCAGGCUGUAAUCCCCUUGAAAGCAGAGUCUUCAUAUAGUAUGAGCUUUACAUUUCUAAAAGAGGUGUCUAAAUUUACAAAAUGUUAGAGGAGUUAUUAACACUCUUCUAAGAUUACUAAAUUCUUUCAUUAAAUAAUUUCUUAAUGAUUCAACAUGUAUGUGGAAAGUCAUGAAGGAGAGUCUAUCUGCUAUAGUUUAUUAGAUAUGCUGACCACUAUACACUCUUGUAAUUCAUAUGACAUGGGAUAUAUGACAUGAUCAGCAGACAUGAUGAAACAAUAUUUAGGCACUAAAAGACUAACGGAAACUGAAGGACUUAGAAAUAGGAAAUCACCAUUAAUGGGACUCUCAAAGAGAUAACCAGAAAAGAGAAUAGGACACAAGAGUGAUGAGCUCUUGACCUGGAGUGUAUUGCCUGCUAGAAGGAUAAA